rnacentral:rRNA from 1 species
CGCGUAGGCGGCUUGCCAAGCGUGUGGUGAAAGCCCGGAGCUCAACUCCGGGUCGGCCAUGCGAACUGGCAGGCUAGAGCACGGUAGAGGCCAAUGGAAUUCCGGGUGUAGCGGUGGAAUGCGUAGAGAUCCGGAAGAACACCGGUGGCGAAGGCGGUUGGCUGGGCCGUUGCUGACACUGAGGCGCGACAGCGUGGGAGCAAACA